ACACUAUUAAAUAUACACGCCAGUAUAUGUAUAAUGGGAUUAUGAAGGAGAAGAGAUAGAUCUUCUUGGGCCUUUGGAUUGGUCUUAUGGUGGCCUCUCUUUCCUUGAGGGGUGCAAAAGGU
rnacentral:snoRNA from 1 species